AUGUCUAAGCAAAGAAGGCAGGGCGAGGAGGAUGAGCCCAACUACUACCACGACCGCAGCGGCAACAAGGAGAAGAGCCUCUAUCUGGUUCUAGACGACUGGCACAAGGGCUUCACCAUCCGCAAGAUCGAUGCCGACAGUCCCGACCUCAGCGCCCCCCCCCCCCCCUGGGCAGCAACAUCAUCGCCACGAGCAACAUACACGCCGGAACCCUCUUCUACGACACUGACACCGCCGGACUGCCCGUCGGCCCUCCCAUUCGAGAUGCACUGCUUUGUGGCUCCAACACCUUCCUAA
rnacentral:rRNA from 1 species